CAAGCAUGACCUGAUAAUUCACGGAAAGAGCGACGGAAAAUAUCCAAAUGCCAAAGAACCUGAGAAAAAAAAAACAAUAGAAAACAAAUCAAGCAAAAGAAAAACAAAGAAAUGAUUAGACUUGGAGAAUAAAAAAAUCAAGAUAGUUAAUCAAGUCAUAAUUAUAUCAAAGUCAUCAUCUAAAAAAGAUGCUGGAGAUUAAUGAAAAAAGUAAAGAAAAUUAGCUAAUUUUGUUUAUGUUAAUUUUCAAGCCUGUUGAAUGAUAACCAAGUUAAUUUAUCCAAAAUCAACUAGGAUUGUCUGUUGAAUAAAUUAUCGUCUAGAGUCAAAUCACGUGUAACUACGUGGUGUGCGUGUUCAUAUGUUUUUCUGCCUCUGGUAAUUAGCUGAAUGAGUCAUCGUCAUCUAGAUUUUUAUUAUAUCCGUUGUAUUUAUCAUCAUCUCUCUGUGAUUUGUAACCAGAGUGAGAGAGUAGGAAAAAGAGAAAGGUGAAAGAUUAAUGAUGAUGAUGAUGAUGAUGAUGAUGACUGUCAAGGUAGAAAGGAAAAGGACUCAAAUCAACAAACGAAUAGUAAAAAAUUUGGUUGACUCUUGGAGCGAGAUGGUUAUCAUUUAUUGCAGACCAGUUUGUUUCUCUCAACUGCAUUUGGAUAAUAUUAUCAUGAUGAGCAAAUAAGAUGAGAAGAAGAGAGAAAGAGAGACAAAAAAGAGAUUGGCACGAGUCUCAUGGAUCUUGAAUUCUGCCCGAGGGUAAAAUUCAUCUGGUUUGGGCCAAGUUUUGAGACUAUUAAUGGUUAACUAAUACCUUGUUGAACAAGUAUUUUUAAUUCAACAUGCACAUUGGAUCAAAGUCAAAGAUCAAUGGAACUGUGAAAAAAGUCAAACAAUUCAAUAUUCAAUCCUCAACACAAUCAAAAAUGGAAUCAACAACAAGCAGAAUAAAAAAGGAAAAGCCAAUAUGUGAUAAUUAACAGUUCGCUUCGUUAAACCAACUAAUGUUUUCUUUAAGAAAAGAGGUUAGAGUUCGAGAUGAUAAUAACUCUAAUCAUAAUGAUGAUAACAACAACAACAACAAUAUAAUAACAGUGAUGAGAAGUAAUAACGAUCAAGACGAAAAAUCAAGGAAAAAAAAGAACCUUGUUGCCUUCGAAGACCUUUUGUCCCAGAUAUGACCUCUGACCGAAAAAAAGCCAAGGAUCAAGAAAAAGAAACAACAAGAUGGUAGAGAAGAGAAGGUAAAUCAACAGGUAAAAGGUAAAAGAUGCAAAGUCACCCUUGGAGAGAGAGAGAGAGAAGGUGAAAAUCCACUACAAAGGAAACCCAACGAAAUUUUGACCUGGACCAUCGGCCAUUUUUAAACCUCUAUAAAUCAAUUGCUUUCAAAAAGAAGGUUUCUCUCCAUCUUCACUUUACUCUCUCUCUCUCUCCUCGCUCCCUUUUCUUUCUUGAACCCCUCUCUGUGUGUUUCUUUUUCCUUCUCUCUCUCUCUUUCCCCUUCUCUUCUUGAUCCUCCUCCUCUUAUACCUGAGGUUUUUGUUACCUGGCGAUUGUAACCAAGCACAAAACUGUUCUAACCUAAGGCAACCUGAAAGCGGGCAAACGGCCUGACUUAGCAACGCGGGAAAAACUGGUUUUACUCUGUUCAUAUCAUCAUUCCCGGUGAAAUAAUUAACAAUAACAACAACCACAACUUCAUCAAAUUGAAACUCUUUCAUUGAGAAAACCAGAAAACGUUUUAAUGAUGAUACAAGUCUAUUAACAUUAACAUCAUUAAUUUCCCGGUAGACAUUUAAAAGAUAAACAUUAAUCCAACGAGGUAAUAGUGUCGUUGGGAUGAGAGAGAGCAAGAGAGCUAAACCUCAAAAUGGCGCUAAAAUGAUUAUAUAAUUUAAUCGCGAUCAGAAGCUCAGGAUGAUUAACGGAAAAAAAGUGUUUGAAAAAGAGGCAAAAAUAUUUCAACAUGAUGAUGAUGUUUGAAGAAUGAAGAAGAUGAUAAAAUUAAUAGAGGUAAAAUAAUGAUGGAGUUGAUGAUAGAAAAAAGUUUCUCCCUCCUUUAAGCAUCUUCUCAAUCAACUUGAUCCUCAUCUUGAUCAUUGUUAUUUUUUAAUGGAGCAUUGAAAUCAACAUCUAAAGCCCCUGACCUGGUCUGUUUUACCCUCUCUCACUCACUCUCUUGAAGGGAUAACUUUUGAUUUGAAAAAAAAGGAUUCAUUUCAUACUUUUGGUAUGAAUUUUAAUGACGAUUAAGGAUAAUUACACUACCUGGACAUUAUUAUUUACAUUUAUAACAAUUAACUGCUACUGACCAAUAGUCAAAUUAAAUAUUCAUGGACAUACUUGUUGGUUGAUCAAUGGAUUAAAAAGUAACAAUUAACCAACUUUACAAGCAAGGCUACUGAUUAUAUAGUGGAGGAGGUAAAACAAAAGGAUAACAAUUAAUUAAUGAAAUUAAAUCUAAUAUGAAGACAUCAUGAUGCAUUUAAAUUCAUGUGUAUGAUUGCAAGACUUUCAUUAAGAAUCAAAUUGAUGUUUAAAAUUAGUUGUUGGCGUGUAAAUUACGGUUAACCUUUUGCUGUUAUCUCACUAAUUUGAUUGUCCAAGAAUCGCCCGAGUGGACGGAAGUUAAUUUAAUUGAUAAUUAACCUUACCUGGAGCAAAAAAACUGGACAAUUCAUUAUGCAUUCUAAUGUCGUUUGAAUUAAAUAUCAUUAAUACCGUUUCUUUUUGCAAGUUUGCAAAAAAAUAGAGGGAAAUCAACAUCUAGAUGACCACGAUGACCAUCAUCUUGCAAACAAGUUGUUUGGAGCAAAAAAACGGACACAACAUCUAAAUCAACAAUAUCUCAACAGGACAUAGUUACCAACAAUCAAGAAGAUGAAAUUAACAACAAUAAACAAACAAGUGACUUGACAUGCGAAAACACAACAAGACAACAAACCCUGGAAAGUAAACUGAUUUACCUGGGGAAAGAUGAUUCAAGAUGAGGAUGAGCAAGGUGAAGAUUACCAGGGCUAAUCAAGGAAUUGGUCAAGGAAAAGAUAAAAAAAAACUAAGCUCAUAUCUCAUAAAGAUGAAAAGUAAAGUCAAGAUGAAGAUGGAAAGAUAAACACAACAAGACACAUGAACAGGUAAGUACAUUUAUUGGAUAUUCAAGGUAAAUGAUUUACCUGAGAAACAGAAGCAACUCAAUAAAUUAACCCCUGGUAAUUGGUUAUGUAAAGAUUAAAAUCAAUGGUAAUCAACAUUUUAACGGAUUAAAAACUGCGAUUAACUAAAAAAAAAUAAUAAUCUCAACAAUCAAAAGCAUAUUAAUUUAAUGUUAUUAUGAUUAUCAUGGGAUGAGAAGGUUUAAAAAAACAAAGGAACCAAUGAAACUCUGAAAUUUGGUGAUACCUUCAAAUGCAACAUUAUGAUUGUUGAUUGUCUAUGAUUUACUAAUCACUAUUAGUUAAUCUUGUUCACAUGAAUUAAACUUUUCUCAGAGGAUUUAACAUGAGAUCACCUGAGAUCUUCAACGACCACGCCUUUUACUCAGGUAGAUGCAAAAAGGAUGCGGAGGAGAAGAUGAUGAUGAUGAAGUUACGACUAAUCAUCAAGUUAAUCAUCUCCAACGCAAAGUAAUCAUUUAAACUAAUUUAGUCUGUCUUAACCAUUAUCAUUAUCAUCUCCCUCUCCUGUUAACGAUGCAACUGGACAAUUAAUUUGAUUGUUAAUUGUUGUUAAGAUUUAACAACAUCAAAAAGUCUAGUUUAACAUUGUCACAAUUUACCUGCAACUGUUGAACCUUUGCAAUUAAUUGUUAUCAUUAGGAUUUAAAAUCUGAUCUUUAUUUUAAGAUUUACGUUGAUUGUGUGCAGUUUUUUUUUCAGUUAUCAAGUUAAUUUAGUUAAUUGUAAUAAUCCAACUUUGAUUGUUGUACUUUCACUGUUGUUUUCCGGUUACCUAAGUUGAAGUCUCUUGGCUUUUGUUUUCCACCAAUUAAGUUAUUUAAUUAACAAAAAAACACUCUGAUACUUAAUUAACUAUGACAAUGUUGAUGAUAAAAUUACAAUUAACUUUAGGUAACAAUUAAUAACUACUUUGAAUUUGAUCAUCACCAACAAUUAAGUCUUAUUUUUGAUUAAUCUUUGAUUAGCUUGGACUGACAAUCUUAAUUGCUUUUGAUUAUUAAUCUUGAAAGACUUUCAAAUGCUGGUUGAUUAGCUUAAAAUGAAAGUUAAUUGUUUCAUAUAUCUGAUGGUUAUAAUAUUAAACGGAAACUAAUUUAUUAACUAUAUGAAGUUGCAAUGUUAAUACAAUUAGUUUCACUGAUUUAAAGUGUAAGUGAAACUAAUUUAAAUUACAAUUUAAAGGAAAUCGCAAUUCUAAUCAUGUUGAUUAUAAUUGCAAACUAAAUUGAACUAUUUCCCAAUACAACAAGUUUAAUUGAUUGUGAUUUAGAAACAUUCAAAAAAAACAUCAUCAUUAACCUUAAAUUGUAAUUGUAACUUUAAACUUGAAAAAAGUAAUUAAAAAAAAAUUCACCUGAUCAAACGGAAGUGACCGUUGAUUACAAUCAACAAUUUACUAUAAUGAUAAUGAUACAAUUUAGGUAAUGAGACAGUUAAUUGUUGGUAAUCAGGAAUCAGAAAAACAGUUACCAAUCAAAGGGAUUUACUAAUCAAAUCCUAAAUUAUCCUUGAUUAAACUCACGAAUUGUAAUCAAAUAAAACACACAAUUUACGUAACAUUGAUCAACAAGAAUUAUAAUAAAUCAUAAACAAUUAAAGUUAAUUGUUAAACUCUUGUCCAAAUGAUGAAACUUAAAAAUCAACACAAACAAACAACGACAACAAUUAAUUACUAACCUGAUUGCUUGACCUUAAUUAACGAUAAUAAUACAAUUGCUACUUUCACUUUUUACCUUUCACAUUGUCAAUGUUUUUUUUGUCCACUAAUGAUGAUUAACUUUCAUUUUCUUAACAAUUAAUUGUCAACAAAAUGUUCAUACACUUUUCCCACCAGCAUCACCAAAAAUGCUGCAAUGAUGAUGAAAAGAAAUGAUUUUGUGAGAAAAUGAAUUUCACUCAUCAUCAUUAUCUUCAUCAUCUUCAGGUAGCAUCAAUUUUGUCCAUCAUCAAAAGGAAACCAAUGGUCAGUAUCCCAGAGAUAAAAAAGAUGAGAGAGAGAGAGAGAGAGAGAGAGAUAAAGUCCCAUGGAUGAUCAAUGGUGAGAAAUUCCCGCUAAGAGAAAUUAACACAAUGAACUAAAUUAAACUUCGUUGAUAUUUAAUCAUUAUGAUAGUUAAUUUAAUUCUCACAUGUAAUCAUGUUGUUAUUGUAACAAUCAAAGUUAAUUGUCACAAAAAGUUGUUAUUUUCUUGUAUGUGUUCACCUUGAUUAGUGUUACAAUCAUUUCAUUUUGUUACCUUUAAUUUAUGAGAGUCAAAAACAUGAUUAACUUAAUUGUGAUUAACGUUUUUGCUUCAUUUGCUUGUCAAUUGUUAUUUACACUUAAUAUUUUUUACUAUUGUAAUAAUAAUAAUUUAUUAUUGAUUCACGAUUAUGAUUAUUUUGAUUACAAUUAUUUGAUCAUUUGAAAUGAUUAUUAUCAUAACAAAACCACAACAAUUUAAUGCUUUUAAAUGGCAACAAAUUGUUACCAACAAUUUAAACUUCAAUAUUGUUAUUGGUUAACACACCCAAAUGAUUUAUAUUGAAUUUUUGUUAAAUUGUUGUUAUUUAAUUAUCAUAUAUUAUCAUCAAUGGUUAAUAUGAUUGGAUAUUAAUUAAAUGGUUCCAAUUGUUUAACAAUUAACUAUUAAUCAAAUGGGUUCAUGUGGAUUGUGAAUAAUCAAAUUUGAUUGAUAUUUCGUGUUGACAGUGAUUUUAAUUGUUGUGCAUUUAAUUAUUUAUCUGAUCAUGAGUAUGUGUGUGUAUUUAACUAAUUAAUUGUUGAGUUAAUUGUUAUAAUAUAUUUUGAUUGAGUUGAUUCUGUUAUUGAUAA